GAUAAAUGUACCCCAAUAUCUUACUCGAAACGGACAAAAUUGUGAAUUAUACUAUAUUGCACUUGUGCUUUAGGCUGGUGCUGCGUAGGGUUAUAUUCCUGUGAACACGCCACUGUCAGAAUUAAUUGAAAAGUAGUGUGAAUGUGUUGUUUUGAAUACUUGUACUGACUGAAUGACCUCUUUGAUCAAGAAUUCAUUUCAGUCAAAAUGAUUGCUUAGCGUUGAUUAAAGCAAUAAUAUGUAAAAGGAAACUGCAUAUUUUCUUUCUUUGAAUUGGCUCGUUGUAUGUGUCAACACAAACAACCACAGGAUGACGCUAGAGUCAACUGGAAAGCUAAUUUUCCAGUCGACUAAAACUUAUUUAUUUUAAGGUAAAUGAAGAUGCUUCUCAAUUUCACAUAUAUUUGGAGAAUAUUCGUACGGUGCGCAUUUGAUAAAAUACAAGGUGUGUCACAAAAGUUCCCGAACUGAUGUCACAGAAGAUAGACAUUUCAAACACAAAUUACUGUACAAGCUUGCCUCUACACUGUGGGCCAGCACGUCCAGGAACAGAUCCAUCUGACACUUCCCGGCUGGGAAGAACAUCUCUGUGCUGGAACAUCCUCCCUACUCACCAGUCCUUGUUUUGUGUGAUUUUUUUUUCACCCUCUUUACUCAAUCCGAAGGGGUCUUCAGAAAAAACCCAUUAUGAAGACGUGGACAACAUCAAGAUGGCCGUGAGAAUGGACCUGUGGAGGAUCUCGGAAAAAUAAUUUCAGGAGGGGAUAAAAGCAUGACAGAGAAGGCUUGGACAGUGUAUUAGAGGAUUUGAUGAACCAAGAUCCCAACAAGAAUGACUUUUGCUGUUGUACUGUUACAACUCACACUGUUGCUGUUGAACCACAAAACGGGAUUAUUACACUUUCAGGGUAACUUGUUUGAAAGUAAUAAUAAUAAAAGCAAUUGUAAUUGAGUGUAACAAAUAUUUCAAAGCUCUCGCUUCCAUUUUAUGGGGGUCAAACCCUCCACUGGACACAAUAUUACAAGAGAUAGGCUGCCCCGCAUGCUAUUUGUGAAGUGUGUAAAACUACCAUGACAUCAUUAUAAUUGUGCUUUGGUAGCCGUUGUGAAUAAAGAAAAUGCCUGCUUUUGUUCA